AUUGAACGCUGGCGGCGUGCUUAACACAUGCAAGUCGAGCGGCAGCGCGGGGGCAACCCUGGCGGCGAGCGGCGAACGGGUGAGUAAUGCUUCGGAAUCUUCCUCGUAGUGGGGAAUAACCUGGGGAAACUCAGGCUAAUACCGCAUACGAACUACGGUUGAAAGCAGGGGAUCGCAAGACCUUGCGCUAUGAGAUGAGCCGAAGUCGGAUUAGCUAGUUGGUGAGGUAAAGGCUCACCAAGGCGACGAUCCGUAGCUGGUCUGAGAGGACGACCAGCCACACUGGGACUGAGACACGGCCCAGACUCCUACGGGAGGCAGCAGUGGGGAAUAUUGGACAAUGGGGGCAACCCUGAUCCAGCGACGCCGCGUGUGUGAAGAAGGCCUGCGGGUUGUAAAGCACUUUUAGUGGGGAUGAAAGCCGAAGGCUAAUACCUUUCGGUCUUGACCUAACCCAAAGAAAAAGACACCGGCUAACUCUGUGCCAGCAGCCGCGGU
rnacentral:rRNA from 1 species